CGGAAUUCGAAUUUCAAGCAAUGGCGUUUGUUCCAUUGUUGGAAAUUUUCAGUUUUCUCUAUUAACAUGAAGCUGUUUUUGUGCUGCAGAACAAAAAGAAAAUUGUUAUACAGAUGGAUUCGGCUAUAAGAAGUGCAUUUCUCAGAAAGAGCCGCAAAAGUUUUUUGCUUCAGUUAGUGCAGGAGAGGAUAAGCCAUUUGAUUUCUUAGGCGCUUUAUAUGGUCGGUAUGGAAAUUGGAUUGAAUUGGGACCACAGGAGUUUAAAUUUAGUUUGUUAUAAAAUAGAAAUUUGUAUACUGAAAAUCUAGCUUAUACUGCAGUAAGUUUUCCUUAAUUUUGUUUGAAUUUCACAGAGGGCAUUGUAGCUGGAAGCACUGCAGGUGUUGUUGCAGAAGCGGCUUUGUAUCCACUUGAUACAAUAAAAACUAGGCUGCAGGCAAGUUGUCACUUUAUAUAAUGUUUUGCUCUAUUUGUUGCAGUAUGUUGCGGCCACAUUCUUGGAUUAUUUAUGAAUAGUUUGAACUUUAAAAGUAGAAUCUGAUAGAUACCCAUUUUUUUUCAUUAACUUUGUUAUGCGGUUAUAUGAGAUGUCAGUAUAUUUGGAUCAUGCCGCUCCUGGCUACAUGGAAAUAUGGACACUAGAGUGCAAUGAUUAUUUCUAUUGUCUCUGGUUUAUUGGUCUUAAUUCCAAAUUCUGUGGCAGCAUCACUAUUUGUCAAAAAUGUAAUAUUUCCUUACUUAGGGUCAUUGAAACACUCUUUAUUUUCAACUCUUGUUUUCUUUUUCUUUGGACUUGGGUUUAAGCAUAUGGAUGUUACAUUCUUUUGGCACCUUCUCUUGCAAUUCUUUUUUGGGCUGCCCAAGACUCCUUAUGAUGUUAAGUCUUUUAUUUUAUCUUCUGUACCUAAACAGAUUAACAUUAACAAUAUGUUCAAGAUAUAAAGACCUUAAAAUUAUCUCCUUUAUGUGUUAUUUCCUUUCUUUCAUAGUUAUGAGCUCAUUGCCUUCAUUAUUUGUACUAUUUUUUUUUUUGUUUGGCAUAUUUUGAGCAGGAUGUUUGAUAGACUUGAUAAAGUGGGUUUUCCAAAACUUUGGCGGAUUCUAUGUUAUCUCAAAGAAUUUGGGAGGUGACAAAGGAAAACAUUUAAAAAUCUGCUACUUCAACAGUGGCUUAGUGUAUUUGAAUUGAGAGAUGCUAGAAUUUUUUUAAGGACCAGUAUCUAUCUGUGCAUUGUGGGUGUGACUGACCUACUUGUUCAUACUCAAUAUAUAACACUUCUAUAAAAUUUUCAAAUUUAGUUACUAUAUUUGAUAGCUAUGGUUCUGGUGCUAGGCUGCUCAUGAUGGAGGAAAAAUUAUGUUCAAGGGUCUUUAUUCUGGAUUGGCUGGAAACCUUGCUGGUGCCUUUCCGGCUUCUGCUGUAUUUUUUGGUGUUUAUGAACCUGUGAAACAGAAAUUGCUAAAAACUUUGCCUGAAAACCUCAGCGCUUUUGCUCAUCUGGUAAGAUUCCUAAAUAACAUGCUUCAAGUUGCUAAACUAACUCUUAGGAAAAGUGUUUACUAAUCUGGGAUUAUCUGUCUUAUUUAGUCCAGUGUCAUUUUUUCUAGUUUACAUCUCUUUAAAAAUAAAACUUUCCCCGUAGGGCCUCACUGUCGCAUUGGCAUGUGUAAUUCACUUGUUACACACCCACUGAUAUCUGGCAUAAUCCCUUGUGUUUGCAACUAAACCAAGAGAAAAUUUGGCACAUUCUUUACUUUGACGUUCGAGUUUGCAAGUAAUGCAUCUUAUUUCUCUAAAAUAAAUAGAAUCUUGGGAUUUAAUCUAUUGGAUAGAGCCUAUCUUUUUUAUUAUAAUAGGUUUCAAGACUUUAUUCAGUCUGCAGGUGCCAUUGGAGGUGCCAUUUCUUCCCUUGUUCGUGUGCCGACAGAGGUUGUUAAGCAGAGAAUGCAAACCGGGCAAUUUACUUCAGCCCCUAAUGCUGUUCAUGUUAUUGUUGCUAAAGAGGGUUUUAAAGGUCUCUAUGCGGUAUGCUACACUUACUAAAUAUCUUAAGAUUUUUAUCUUGGAACUCCUGGAUUUAAUUUUGGUGUUCUAUAAUUUUCUGCCUUGCAAACUUUUCCCGAAGAAUAUGAUAACUGAUAAGUAUCUUAUUGUGAUUAGAAGAGUCUGAUGCUGUAAACUGGUUAUGGUAGGCAUCAUUUUGCUCACAAUGCUCAAGCAAUCUGCAAGUCAUUUGCGCGUCAUUGCUUUUUACUGCUGUUUGGCACAUAAUGCAUGUGAAUGUUAUUUGUCUUUAGUUUAUGAACUUGUUCUUGGUCUGUGUACCCUAUUUAUUCAUUUCUUUAAAACUGUAGGGAUAUGGAUCCUUCUUAUUGCGAGAUUUGCCUUUUGAUGCUAUCCAGUUCUGCCUCUAUGAGCAACUCCUAAUGGGAUAUAAGCUGGUGGUAAGCUUACUUUUGUCGUUGUUUGGCAUGUACAUGCAAAUUGUUCACUCUAGUCGGACUUUUCUUGAUUGAGAGAGUUGUGAGGAUUCUGAUCUAACUGAGAGCUAAGGGGUAUUGAAAUGUUGUACAUGAAGGUCUCGAUGGCUUGCUUCUACAUGUAUAGUUCAUUUGAUAGUUCUGUUGUUUGGGUAAUUAUUUCCUAAAUCACAUCAAUAAGAAGAAAAUGAAUCUCCUACAUCUGUUUUAAGCAAAUUUUGUGGUCUAUAGACUAUAAUUUGAUUAUGCAGAAAUAAGCAUUUAUUGCCUUUUUCUGCAGGCACGAAGAGAUCUGAAAGAUCAUGAGAUUGCUAUAAUUGGUGCUUUUGCUGGUGCAAUAACUGGAGCUCUAACUAAUCCCCUUGAUGUGGUAAAAACUAGAUUAAUGGUUCAGGGACCAGCAAACCAGUACAAAGGGAUUUUUGAUUGUGCCAGGACUAUUACUAAAGAAGAGGGAGUUCAUGCUCUUCUCAAGGUCUGUCCAUUCCCUGUGAUUCUAUCUACCUAUCAAAUACAGUUGUCAAAGAGUGGUAACCAUUAUAUUUUUUUUCUAUGCUUAUAUUAACAUAGCUUAGUUGUUCAAAUAUUAGGACCAAUUUCCAGCCAAUUAAGAGAGAUAGAAGGUUUAUGAACAGUAAUGUUGUUAAAUGUAUGUACUAUUAAAUUCUUUGAGAAUGUCAAUUUUAUGCUCUGAUUUCAGCAUUGAGCCCCAUCUUCUUGUUUCUGGCUUCUUACUUUUAUAUAGAGUAUCUAUGAUUCUGAUUCACAGCAAAAACAUAAAAAAAUAAAUGAAUAAUAAACAGAAACCUGCUUCUAUCUCCUAAUAGACCAUAAGGUACAAUUUAGAGGAAUUGAUUGUGUGAUAUUGUUUCUCUACGAACACCCUUUUGCUUGUCUGGGAUUUUGAAGUGCAACUCAUU
rnacentral:misc_RNA from 1 species